CACUCUCGGGUGACGAGCGGCGGACGGGUGAGUAAUGUCUGGGAAACUGCCUGAUGGAGGGGGAUAACUACUGGAAACGGUAGCUAAUACCGCAUAAUGUCGCAAGACCAAAGUGGGGGACCUUCGGGCCUCAUGCCAUCAGAUGUGCCCAGAUGGGAUUAGCUAGUAGGUGGGGUAACGGCUCACCUAGGCGACGAUCCCUAGCUGGUCUGAGAGGAUGACCAGCCACACUGGAACUGAGACACGGUCCAGACUCCUACGGGAGGCAGCAGUGGGGAAUAUUGCACAAUGGGCGCAAGCCUGAUGCAGCCAUGCCGCGUGUGUGAAGAAGGCCUUCGGGUUGUAAAGCACUUUCAGCGGGGAGGAAGGCGGUGAGGUUAAUAACCUUGUCGAUUGACGUUACCCGCAGAAGAAGCACCGGCUAACUCCGUGCCAGCAGCCGCGGUAAUACGGAGGGUGCAAGCGUUAAUCGGAAUUACUGGGCGUAAAGCGCACGCAGGCGGUCUGUCAAGUCGGAUGUGAAAUCCCCGGGCUCAACCUGGGGAACUGCAUUCGAAACUGGCAGGCUAGAGUCUUGUAGAGGGGGGGUAGAAUUCCAGGUGUAGCGGUGAAAUGCGUAGAGAUCUGGAGGAAUACCGGUGG
rnacentral:rRNA from 1 species